UUAUUGGAGAGUUUGAUCCUGGCUCAGGAUGAACGCUGGCGGCGUGCCUAAUACAUGCAAGUCGAGCGAAUCUGAGGGAGCUUGCUCCCAAAGAUUAGCGGCGGACGGGUGAGUAACACGUGGGCAACCUGCCUGUAAGACUGGGAUAACUUCGGGAAACCGGAGCUAAUACCGGAUAACAUAUGAGACCACAUGGUCUCGUAUUAAAAGAUGGCUUUUAGCUAUCACUUACAGAUGGGCCCGCGGCGCAUUAGCUAGUUGGUGAGGUAACGGCUCACCAAGGCGACGAUGCGUAGCCGACCUGAGAGGGUGAUCGGCCACACUGGGACUGAGACACGGCCCAGACUCCUACGGGAGGCAGCAGUAGGGAAUCUUCCGCAAUGGACGAAAGUCUGACGGAGCAACGCCGCGUGAGCGAAGAAGGUCUUCGGAUCGUAAAGCUCUGUUGUUAGGGAAGAACAAGUAUCGUUCGAAUAGGGCGGUACCUUGACGGUACCUAACCAGAAAGCCACGGCUAACUACGUGCCAGCAGCCGCGGUAAUACGUAGGUGGCAAGCGUUAUCCGGAAUUAUUGGGCGUAAAGCGCGCGCAGGCGGUCCUUUAAGUCUGAUGUGAAAGCCCACGGCUCAACCGUGGAGGGUCAUUGGAAACUGGGGGACUUGAGUGCAGAAGAGGAGAGCGGAAUUCCACGUGUAGCGGUGAAAUGCGUAGAGAUGUGGAGGAACACCAGUGGCGAAGGCGGCUCUCUGGUCUGUAACUGACGCUGAGGCGCGAAAGCGUGGGGAGCGAACAGGAUUAGAUACCCUGGUAGUCCACGCCGUAAACGAUGAGUGCUAAGUGUUAGAGGGUUUCCGCCCUUUAGUGCUGCAGCAAACGCAUUAAGCACUCCGCCUGGGGAGUACGGUCGCAAGACUGAAACUCAAAGGAAUUGACGGGGGCCCGCACAAGCGGUGGAGCAUGUGGUUUAAUUCGAAGCAACGCGAAGAACCUUACCAGGUCUUGACAUCCUCUGACACUCCUAGAGAUAGGAUUUUCCCCUUCGGGGGACAGAGUGACAGGUGGUGCAUGGUUGUCGUCAGCUCGUGUCGUGAGAUGUUGGGUUAAGUCCCGCAACGAGCGCAACCCUUGAUCUUAGUUGCCAGCAUUCAGUUGGGCACUCUAAGGUGACUGCCGGUGACAAACCGGAGGAAGGUGGGGAUGACGUCAAAUCAUCAUGCCCCUUAUGACCUGGGCUACACACGUGCUACAAUGGAUGGUACAAAGGGCAGCAAAACCGCGAGGUUAAGCCAAUCCCAUAAAACCAUUCUCAGUUCGGAUUGCAGGCUGCAACUCGCCUGCAUGAAGCCGGAAUCGCUAGUAAUCGCGGAUCAGCAUGCCGCGGUGAAUACGUUCCCGGGCCUUGUACACACCGCCCGUCACACCACGAGAGUUUGUAACACCCGAAGUCGGUGGGGUAACCGUAAGGAGCCAGCCGCCUAAGGUGGGACAGAUGAUUGGGGUGAAGUCGUAACAAGGUAGCCGUAUCGGAAGGUGCGGCUGGAUCACCUCCUUUCU
rnacentral:rRNA from 1 species